rnacentral:rRNA from 1 species
GAUGAACGCUGGCGGCGUGCCUAAUACAUGCAAGUCGAGCGAACAGACGAGGAGCUUGCUCCUCUGACGUUAGCGGCGGACGGGUGAGUAACACGUGGAUAACCUACCUGUAAGACUGGGAUAACUUCGGGAAACCGGAGCUAAUACCGGAUAAUAUAUUGAACCGCAUGGUUCAAUAGUGAAAGACGGUUUUGCUGUCACUUAUAGAUGGAUCCGCGCCGCAUUAGCUAGUUGGUAAGGUAACGGCUUACCAAGGCAACGAUGCGUAGACGACCUGAGAGAGUGAUCGGCCACCCUGGAACUGAGACACGGUCCAGACUCCUACGGGAGGCAGCAGUAGGGAAUCUUCCGCAAUGGGCGAAAGCCUGACGGAGCAACGCCGCGUGAGUGAUGAAGGUCUUCGGAUCGUAAAACUCUGUUAUUAGGGAAGAACAAAUGUGUAAGUAACUAUGCACGUCUUGACGGUACCUAAUCAGAAAGCCACGGCUAACUACGUG